AUAUAUAUCCCAGCGACUAGAUUCGGCUUGACGCGACACAUAUUUGACAAAUUGAAGGACACCUUCAUCUCUAUAAACCAAAGAAAAAACAUUCCAAGCGGCUGGCAAAGAAAGCAAAAUACUGUCAUCUUGCUGAUCACCCCUAUACACAGCAGCAUCUACAUCAGGAUCUUCAUCGCCAAUCAUAUAAAUAUCAUAUGCACCAUUGUCAGUAUUCGCAAUGCCUGUCCCCGGAGAUAAGCAAAGAGUAGCUUCUAGUAAAGCUGUGUCAUUCGUAGUAGCAAGCGUAAAAUCGGAACCAGGGCGGAAUCGUCGACCAACUUGAUGAAAGGAACGAAGGGGUAAGCCACUGACAAGUUGGAUCCAACGCUGAAACGCAGGAAGGCGCUGCAAAUCCAUGGGCAAAAUAAUAUCAGGGCCAAACUCUUCAUGAUCUAAAUAUAGGUACCUGUGCUUAUGAGGAGGAAUGGCAGUUUUCCAAGGGAAUGACACUUCGGAAGAAUGCAUAGGAGUGGG